AAAUUGAAGAGUUUGAUCAUGGCUCAGAUUGAACGCUGGCGGCAGGCCUAACACAUGCAAGUCGAACGGUAACAGGAAGAAGCUUGCUUCUUUGCUGACGAGUGGCGGACGGGUGAGUAAUGUCUGGGAAACUGCCUGAUGGAGGGGGAUAACUACUGGAAACGGUAGCUAAUACCGCAUAACGUCGCAAGACCAAAGAGGGGGACCUUCGGGCCUCUUGCCAUCGGAUGUGCCCAGAUGGGAUUAGCUAGUAGGUGGGGUAACGGCUCACCUAGGCGACGAUCCCUAGCUGGUCUGAGAGGAUGACCAGCCACACUGGAACUGAGACACGGUCCAGACUCCUACGGGAGGCAGCAGUGGGGAAUAUUGCACAAUGGGCGCAAGCCUGAUGCAGCCAUGCCGCGUGUAUGAAGAAGGCCUUCGG
rnacentral:rRNA from 1 species